rnacentral:rRNA from 1 species
CCGGCGACCGGCGCACGGGUGAGUAACGCGUAUGCAACCUGCCCGUUUCAGCGGGAUAACCCGGAGAAAUCCGGCCUAAUACCGCAUGUGGCCGAGGGGAGGCAUCUUCUUUCGGCCAAAGGAGGCGACUCCGGAGACGGAUGGGCAUGCGUGACAUUAGCUAGUUGGCGGGGUAACGGCCCACCAAGGCGACGAUGUCUAGGGGUUCUGAGAGGAAGGUCCCCCACAUUGGAACUGAGACACGGUCCAAACUCCUACGGAAGGCAGCAG